rnacentral:rRNA from 1 species
AUUGAACGCUGGCGGCAUGCCUUACACAUGCAAGUCGAACGGUAACAGGUCUUCGGAUGCUGACGAGUGGCGAACGGGUGAGUAAUACAUCGGAACGUGCCCAGACGUGGGGGAUAACGAGGCGAAAGCUUUGCUAAUACCGCAUACGAUCUAAGGAUGAAAGCAGGGGACCGCAAGGCCUUGCGCGUUUGGAGCGGCCGAUGGCAGAUUAGGUAGUUGGUGGGAUAAAAGCUUACCAAGCCGACGAUCUGUAGCUGGUCUGAGAGGACGACCAGCCACACUGGGACUGAGACACGGCCCAGACUCCUACGGGAGGCAGCAGUGGGGAAUUUUGGGCAAUGGGCGAAAGCCUGAUCCAGCAAUGCCGCGUGCAGGAUGAAGGCCUUCGGGUUGUAAACUGCUUUUGUACGGAACGAAAAGGCUCUGGCUAAUACCUGGGGCACAUGACGGUACCGUAAGAAUAAGCACCGGCUAACUACGUG